AGAGAGAGAGAGAGAGAGAGAGAGAGAGAAGUAAAGGCUGCUUCCUCAGUGAGCGUGGUUCGCUCCUCGUGACCGGAAGCGCGGCGGGUCGAGCCCGGAACACGCCGAUCUCGCCGAUUCCCUCUUAACGGUAUAUAUCGCUGCGAUCGAUCGUGGGGAUCGAUCCUGCCGCGUAUACGUUCUCGCCAGACCUCUCGUCCCCUCCUUUCCACCAUUCCCUUCUACAUUCCCUUCUCUCUCCUCUCACCCUUCUCUACCGUGCAUUCGAUCUUUCCUCUUCUCAUUCGUGCACAGCGAACCUUAUACCCUGCCCGAGUCUCUUUCUUUCGUUCGCGAUCCGCAACGAUGGCCAGAGACCCAGAUGCAUUCGGACGCGCUAUCUUUACGCGUGUCGCGCUACGAACACGGUCACGGAGAGAAACAAGAGCCAGAAGGGAGAAAGGAGGGAGGAGGACGCGAGAUUGAAUGUAAGCAUGGACGAAAAAGAAGAAUUCGAAAGAACGGAAGAUUCGUAAUAAAUGGAUGUACAACGACGACGUCACCGGCCGAUAGGAAGUUUCGAAAGACGCUGCGCGCGCCCAUUAUCAUCGCUCCCGUGCCCAUUAUGCGAUCGCCAGCCCCCGCGACCAAUCCGGAUUUUCGUGACAGUCGAGGCCGAUAUCGAGCAACGUUUAUUUUCUUUCUUUUUCUUUCUUUUUCAUGAGGGUCACGAGAAUAAAAACAAAAAUGAAGAGAACAGUCGAAGAAUGGAAGAAAAAUUAUUUAUCUCAAAAAUUAGAAUUCCAUGACUAAUGAUUAUUUUCUUUGUAUUUUUUCUUUUUACUGUAGUAUCAUAGUUAGAAAUAGAUAGAAAAAUAAUUUAAUAAAUAAUAGAAAAUUAGAUUUCUCGGAUCGGUAGAAUCUUAAAAGUUAAAUAAUAAUAUAAAAUAUGAUUUUCUUUCGAUAUUUAUCGAUUUUUAAUUAUUAAAUUUAUUUAAUUAUUUAUCAAACCGAUGAAUUUAAAAAACAAUCAUUGAUCACACGAUUACACGAUUAUUAUAUUUUCAAUAACAUUAUUAAUAUGCAAAAUGUAUUAUCACACUAUAAGUACGAUCAUCGGCCGCAGAAAGCGAAAGUGAUAAAAGAAGUUGCUGCAAAUGUACAUGCUAUGACCUUGUUCCCGAGUUGCAGAGAGUAGCGUGAUAUAUGGGUUCAUCGUACAAGGACGUUCAAGGUUACGAGCAUAAUAAAACCAGAAGUUAUGUACCGUAUGAAUUCAAACACUUACCGACAUCCGAGCAAUUCCCAGCCUAAACAAACAUCUAAUCAAACCUCGAACAUAACCACUUCAUGAAUUGAACGCUCUAUAUCUCCGUUAUUCUCACCUACAAAUUGCAAUAUCUAGAGACAUAUUCAAAGAACAAUAUUAUUAAAUUUAUAAACAGAAAAAAAAAGAACAAGUAAAAAUCUAAAAUACGAAAUAUAUUUAUUUAAAUAAAUGAAAUUAUUAUUAUAUUUUUAUUAUAUUAUUAUAUUAUAUAUUAACUUUUAUAACUUAUGAUUGAUUUAAAUGAAUCUUUUGAUGUUGGAAAUAAAAUACCUAUGUUAAACUUAA